rnacentral:rRNA from 1 species
UACGUAGGGGGCAAGCGUUGUCCGGAAUUAUUGGGCGUAAAGAGCUCGUAGGCGGUUCGUCGCGUCGGCUGUGAAAACCCGGAGCUCAACUCCGGGCCUGCAGUCGAUACGGGCGGACUUGAGUGUUGCAGGGGAGACUGGAAUUCCUGGUGUAGCGGUGAAAUGCGCAAAUAUCAGGAGGAACACCGGUGGCGAAGGCGGGUCUCUGGGCCGAUACUGACGCUGAGGAGCGAAAGCGUGGGGAGCGAACAGG